rnacentral:lncRNA from 1 species
GGGGGAUUACCGAAUGAUACUAUACGUGAGUACGUUGAAAGAGCAUAUCUCUCAGACAUGUCUCACUGUCUCGGCCGAACUGCGCGCGGGAUUAAGUCAAAUCAGAUGUGGCCAGUGCUAUGGAAUUAAAAGUACGAAGCACGCACGCUACCGCCCACCGGACGCUUCCCGCUCGCCGCGCCGGCUGUACCGCCGGUAUACCGGGUAUACGCCGGGUAUACACCGUGUAUACCACACUGAGCGACGCUAAUGUACAAAUUGGUUUCGGGCUUGCAGGUCACGACGGCGAAGUAUUGAGCGUUAAAUAAAUUUAUGACAAGGGAAAGUUUAAGGAACUGUAAUGAUCGUUUUUAAUUGUAUUCAUUCGGAUUUCUAACUGUCGAGUUAAAACGUCGAAUUUUUUUUUUCACCGCCACCGCCGCAUAUCGUCUGAUUAAAUAAGACUGUUCGAAUAGCUCAAUGUGAGAACACAUAUAUAGCUUACUUUCCUGUGUUAUGAAUGAAAUCGUAUAAUAUGUAAUCGGUUCAUGUCCCAUAUGUAAUUAUACAAGUGUAGUUAUACAAGUAGUGAGUGCAUCACAAUGUGUACAGAUUUGUGACGUCUAGAUAUAUUCAUGGGCUAUUGUGAGACAAUAGUUCGUACUGCCAAUGUGUGACAGGACCCGUGGCUUGAGCGGUUUUUUUGAUAUUAUUAAAAUGUAUAUUAUUUUUAUGAAAUUUUUAAAUUUUUGUUUACUGCAAACAUGUUUUUUUUUCUUAUUUCGCUUCUGUUGAUUGUUACUGUUUAUUUUCUGUUUUCUUUCGUACUGUUAAGUUUCUUUCGUCAGGUUACGUACUUUCGUAUUCGUAAGCAAUAUUUUUUAAAAAUUCGAUGUAGUUUUAUUGAAAAUAUGUUUGAUUGAAAAGCGACUCUAUGCCUCUGUAAAUAUGGAUCAUAGAAAUUAACCGAUUACCGAUUAGCUAUUUUAUGAAAUGUUCGACGAUAUAACCGUUAUGUUAACAUAAAUUGGAAGAACAAGUAAAGAGUAAGUAGGUCAAUGGAAUGUUUCUUAAUAAAAUCGACUCUAAGUAUAUGAGAAUACGGUAUGACGGUUUGUUGACAUAGUUAUCCUGUGACACCCGCGUCGCUUGCCUCCGACGUAGCGGUACAUUGUUAUAAAUAAAUAAAUAUACACUUGUAUUAUACUCGUAGCGAGGAAAGGGAGACAAAAUCGUGCCCUCUCUCUCUAACCACAGAUUAUACACGGGACGGCACCGUUUUGAACUAUAUUAUUCUCGACGUACAUGUUGUACGGAGCGUUUGUUAUAUAUUUGUAAAAAGAUAUUAUAUACCAAAUUCACCCGUAUUUGCUUUCAUGGUGUUUAUACUGUUUAGCCACAUCUAUAUGUAUUUAUUCUUCGAUUUUAUAUCAAAAAUAUUCUUAGUGGGGAUAGUUUUCUCUUAGCCAAUAACGCGCUUCCAAGAUGUAGGAUUUUUUAUUAAAUGAAAAUAAUAAAUUUAGUGAAAAAUGAAAAAAAAAAAAUAUUUUUCGUAAUACAUAGUAUAGCUCGGCCUGAAUCGAAGACACGUUAGAAUAAUUCCGUAUUAUACAAAUUCUAGAUGUUUCGAUCCGUUUGAAAUAGAUAAAAUAUAUUUAAUAGUUAUAAAUACGCGUGACGUCGUUAAAAAUAUAAUAUGAUUAACGAAUAAUCGAAAUUAUAAACAAUCCUUAAAUAACAAAAUAUAGUCUAAGAUUCCGGUCGACCUAUAAGAAUUCUCAUUUUCAAUAUUUUUGAUAUGAAAUUUUUAAAUGUUGUAUCGCGAUAAAAUUAGCUCGGUUCAAAUAUUGGUGAGGGUUGUUACGAUAUUCAAAAUAUAAAUAUAAAAUUACAUAUUAUAUUGUAGUAAAUGAAAAAAAAAAAAUAAUGACUGAAAGAUACAAUACGACGAAUUUUCGAUUAUUAAAUAUCGAACAAGGAACGUAAAAGUAAAAAAAAA